UGCGUCUGAAGAGCAGCUGUUGUCUUUAUCGUCAUCAUCAUCAUCAACUCCUGAGGAAUCGUAAUGAAAACCGCUCAGUUCCUUUUGCUGUGCAUCCUUGGAGCUGCUUUGUUGUCUGCAGUUAACUGAAACAAUGCAAAUGGUCCCGACAACUGCUGUUUCAAGUUGUACCCGGGAAGAAUUCAAGCAAACCUCAUCAAGUCGUAUCGACUGACUGAUCACCGAUGCCCAAAGUCUGCCAUCAUCUUCAUUACCAAAAAGUCUCGUUCAGUGUGUGUGGAUGCGUCUGCCUCCUGGACCCAACGCAUCAUGAAAAGACUGGACCAGAGCUCUUUCUGAACCAGCUGCCUGCUCAUCCUUACACAUUGCUCUGCUUUGUCAGAUAAUAUCAUAUAAAACGCAUGCAAACUUUUUAUAAUGACAGUUCUUUUACAUGUGGUCCAAAGUUUAUCUUUCAAGCGAUUAUAAGCCUGAAAUAAUCCACUGAACAGUCACGCUCUUUGAUUGUGUAAUGUCUCGUGGAUGCUUUGUGCUAUGUAUAUUAUGCUCCAAAAUAAACAC